rnacentral:rRNA from 1 species
CCUACGGGAGGCAGCAGUGGGGGAUAUUGCACAAUGGGGGAAACCCUGAUGCAGCGACGCCGCGUGUGGGAAGACGGUCUUCUGGAUUGUAAACCACUGUCCCCAGGGACGAAAAUGACGGUACCUGGGGAGGAAGCUCCGGCUAACUACGUCCCAGCAGCCGCGGUAAUACGGAGGGAGCAAGCGUUGUCCGGAAUUACUGGGUGUAAAGGGAGCGUAGGCGGGGAUGCAAGUUGGGUGUCAAAACUACCGGCUCAACCGAUGGUCGCACCAAAAACUGCAACUCUUGAGUGAAGUAGAGGCAGGUGGAAUUCCUAGUGUAGCGGUGAAAUGCGUAGAUAUUAGGAGGAACACCAGUGGCGAAGGCGGCCUGCUGGGCUUUUACUGACGCUGAGGCUCGAAAGUGUGGGGAGCAAACAGGAUUAGAUACCCGGGUAGUC